UACGUAGGGGGCAAGCGUUGUCCGGAAUCAUUGGGCGUAAAGCGCGUGUAGGCGGCCAGGUAAGUCCGUUCUGAAAGCCCGGGGCUCAACCCCGGGAGGCGGAUGGAUACUGCUUGGCUCGAGUCCGGAAGAGGCGAGUGGAAUUCCUGGUGUAGCGGUGGAAUGCGCAGAUAUCAGGAGGAACACCCAUAGCGAAGGCAGCUUGCUGGGACGUUACUGACGCUAAGGCGCGAAAGCGUGGGGAGCGAACAGG
rnacentral:rRNA from 1 species